rnacentral:lncRNA from 1 species
AUUUUUAAGUGCGCUAUAUAUGCUAACUGGUUUGGGUUAAAACUUAAUUUGUAAGAGUAAAGGUAUCAAAAGGAAGCCAUAAUUUAAAAAGUUGGCAGCAUUUUACUUGAAUCUAAAGAUUCAUUUAAAUUAUUGUUGAUGACAUAUUUUCUGGCAGUUCAUGUGUUAGUUAUAUCUCUAUUCACUUUGAAAUCAGUUCCAUGUAUUUCUUUAAAUAGCUGCAUAGGGAAAGGAGAGAAACCUGAGAUUUGUGCAAGAUGCCAUUCAUUUAAGUAAAUAAUUUUAAGUAAAUUGUGCCUUCAUCUUGAGGACCUGGUGUUUGUUGGGAUCUUUGCUAUUAAGGUCUCAACCCUGAUUUCCCACACAAUGCUCCACAGUUGUGAGCCAGUACACUUGGUACAUUGUACACCAGAAGCCUAAUUACAUGGCAGUCAAAGUGCUCCCCCUCCCACCCCCAAUGGGCUUGCCCGGUGUCAAUUGGUGGACAAAAUCACUAUUUAGACCAUAGUGUCCUCAGACUUGUGGCAGUCCUCCAGCUUCUGCUUCCUAAUUCUUGGAUUUUACAGACUACCAUCACACCUGACUCAAGUGCUUAAGUUAUAGGAAAUACUGAGAGGGUUAAAACUGUAAAAACCGUCAAAGUAUUUUUGUGUUAAAUAUUUUAACUGCAAAGUUAAAGUAGACAUUUAAGCACUGAAAUAAUACAAUAAACAACUGGGGAAAUUAGCUAUUUAGUAUUUUGUUUAAGAUAUAACUAAAAAGACAGUUGUUAAAAACUGCAACAAGCAAAUAUUAGAUAAGUGCCUUUUCCAGUUUAGUACCAUAAGCAGGUGAGUUGGUCCAUUAUCUAUUGCCAGGCAAUUUUUAGCAAUCACACCUAAUACGGGAGAUUUUAGAACCUAGUUUUUCAACAAAUGUGAAAUACUUAACCUUUCUGGUGCUAAUAACAUGAGGUGACUCAAAGACUUGAUGGUGGUAGUUUAUUUUACCCAGGGAGUUGUCUAUACUUGAGUCACUGAUUCUCUAAGGUUAUAUGUAGUUCUUGGGUUUUUUCCCUAAUUGAGGUUUCUUCCAAAUGGAGGAUUUACCUCAAGACACAAAAAAGGUUAAACAGGAAAGUAACUUUUGUUUGUACUGGGGGUAGGGGUCUUGUCUGUUUCUCCCUGUAGCCCUCUCUGUCCUGGAACUCCCUCUGUAGAGGAGGCUGGCAUCCUUUCUGCUGGAACUAAAGGUGUGCACCACUACCAACAGGCUGAAAGUAACAAACAUCUCAGACCUAAAAAAAUUACUUUCUUAUGAGUGAAUUAAUCUACAUCUUUAAGACUUGAAAGAUAGCAUCAUUACCUUUUUGUAUAGAUUUUAUAUUAAGACGUUGGUAUACAGUGAUAGGUUGUAGGGAGAAGUUAUUAAAAGUGUAAAAUAAGAUCUUAAAUACUUCAAUGAUGUGAGGCUGAGGGUGGCAUUUUUUUUUUUAAAUGUAUCUCCUAUGAUGAGUCUGAAUAGUGGGCCUGGCUUCCAGGGGUAGAGUUUGCUAUUAGCCUUCUCUUCCUCAUCUGUUCCAUCUGUGCAGGUGGUGGAACUAAGCUUGUUAAAAUGUGCUUUAUAUUUAGCAAGAGCAUUCUAGAUGAGCUGGGCAUUUUGUCUCUUGCCUGCAAUCCCAGUCCUCCGAGGCUGAGGCAGGAGGAUUGCUAAGUGUUCUAGGGGAGACAUUUGCCUUUUAAAAAAGUAUGUGCAAACUGGGAUUUACUACCUCAGAUUCCUGUAUAAUAUAGGGUAUGCUAGGAGAUGAGGGAAAUUGGGAUAAAUUAAGGGGAAACAUUCGAUAUUUUAACUGCCUAAUGCUUCAUUCUGAAAAUAGAGAUAACUGCUGUUUGUACAAGUAUCUUUCCAGGGGCCUUUCCCACCUUAAAAAUUGCCCCCUUACCAAUUGUUGUUUAGGGAAAAAUAAAUAAGAUUACUCAUGCCCUGUAUUAUACAUUACAUCUAUGUGUAACUUGUCUCCUUCACUAGAUUGUAAGCCUUUGGAGGUCAGAAACUCAACAAAAAUUGUAUCUUCCACCACAUCUAGCACAGUGCCUUACACUUAUUUGCUAUUCAAUAAAUAUUCAUUAAAAU